UCCAGGGUAGCCUAGUGGACAUGGCACCUGCCCGGUAAGCAGAAGGUUGUGGGUUCGAUCCCCGCCCCUGGAC
rnacentral:tRNA from 1 species